GCCAUUGCUAUCAGGGUUUGACUAAGCCAUGCGAGUCGAGAGGUGUAAGACCUCGGCAUACUGCUCAGUAACACGUGGUUAACCUGCCCUAAGGUGGAGAAUACUCCCGGGAAACUGGGGCUAAUGCUCCAUAGUGGAUGCAUCCUGGAAUGGUGCAUCCUCGAAAGAUCCGUCGCCUUAGGAUGGGACUGCGUCCGAUUAGGUUGUUGGCGGGGUAACGGCCCACCAAGCCAUUGAUCGGUACGGGUUGUGGGAGCAAGAUCCCGGAGAUGGAUUCUGAGACAUGAAUCCAGGUCCUACGGGGCGCAGCAGGCGCGCAAACUUUACAAUGCGAGCAAUCGUGAUAAGGAAACCCUGAGUGCCUGUCGAUGCAGGCUGUUCAUAUAUCUAAAUCAUAUGUGAAGAAAGGGCAGGGCAAGACCGGUGCCAGCCGCCGCGGUAAUACCGGCUGCUCGAGUGAUGGCCACUAUUACUGGGUUUAAAGCGUCCGUAGCUUGACUGUUAGGUCCCUUGGGAAAUCUUCACGCUUAACGUGAAGGCGUCUAAGAGAUACCGGCAGUUUUGGAAAUGGGAGSGGUAAACCGUAAUUUGGGGGUAGGAGUGAAAUUUUGUUAUCCUYGAGGGACGACCUAUGGCGAAGGCAGUUUACCAGRACAGSUUUGACAGUGAGGGACGAAAGCUGGGGGAGCAAACGGGAUUAGAUACCCCGGUAGUCCCAGCCGUAAACAAUGUGCGUUAGGUGUGUYGGUAACCAMGCGUUAMUGAUGCGCCGGAGAGAAAUYAUGAAACGCACCACCUGGGAAGUACGGUUGCAAGGCUGAAAAUUAAAGGAAUUGGCGGGGGAGCACCACAACAGGUGGAGCCUGCGGUUUAAUUGGAUUUAACGCCGGAAAUCUCACCGGAUAAGACGGSUGUAUGAUUGUCAAUUUGAAGGUUUUAMAUGAMUAGCUGAGAGGAGGUGCAUGGCCGUUGUCAGUUUGUACUGUGAAGCAUAUCUGUUAAGUCAGG
rnacentral:rRNA from 1 species